UUGACUGAUUUACUAAUUGUGACAAAUGUGGCACAUUUGCUUCAAAAGAUUCUCCUUCAUCGGUUGUUGGAUGCGACUGACUCAGUAAUUGUGACAAAUGUGGAACAUUUCCAUCAAAACAUUCUUGUGUAUCGUUGGAAUUCUGUUCUGACGUUAAAUUAUCAGAUGUUGGAUGCG